ACUGGCUGACUAGUCCCAAAUAGGACGAAAUGCGCAUCCUGGAU
rnacentral:hammerhead_ribozyme from 1 species